rnacentral:rRNA from 1 species
UGUUAAGGAACUCGGCAAAUUGCCCCCGUAACUUCGGGAGAAGGGGGACCUCUGCUGGUGAUGGGCUUUACGUUCUGAGCUGGUGGGGGUCGCAGUGGCCAGGGGGAAGCGACUGUUUGCUAAAAACACAGGUCCGUGCGAAGUCGUAAGACGAUGUAUACGGACUGACGCCUGCCCGGUGCCGGAACGUUAAGGGGACCGCUUAGCCAGCUUCGGUUGGCGAAGGUGAGAACUUAAGCGCCGGUAAACGGCGGUGGUAACUAUAACCAUCCUAAGGUAGCGAAAUUCCUUGUCGGGUAAGUUCCGACCUGCACGAAUGGCGUAACGACUUCCCCGCUGUCUCAACCACAGACCCGGCGAAAUUGCACUACGAGUAAAGAUGCUCGUUUCGCGCAGCAGGACGGAAAGACCCCGGGACCUUCACUACAGCUUGACAUUGGCGUUUGGAACGUCUUGUGUAGGAUAGGUGGGAGACUAGGAAGCUGUCACGCUAGUGAUGGUGGAGUCAUUGGUGAAAUACCACUCUGGUCGUUUUGAACGUCUAACUCUGGUCCGUGAUCCGGAUCGGGGACAGUGUCUGGUGGGUAGUUUAACUGGGGCGGUUGCCUCCUAAAGAGUAACGGAGGCGCCCAAAGGUUCCCUCAGCCUGGUUGGCAAUCAGGUGUUGAGUGUAAGUGCACAAGGGAGCUUGACUGUGAGACUGACAGGUCGAGCAGGAGCGAAAGCUGGGACUAGUGAUCCGGCAUCGGCGUGUGGAAGCGGUGUCGCUCAACGGCUAAAAGGUACCCCGGGGAUAACAGGCUGAUCUUCCCCAAGAGUCCAUAUCGACGGGAUGGUUUGGCACCUCGAUGUCGGCUCGUCGCAUCCUGGGGCUGGAGUAGGUCCCAAGGGUUGGGCUGUUCGCCCAUUAAAGCGGUACGCGAGCUGGGUUUAGAACGUCGCGAGACAGUUCGGUCCCUAUCCGCUGCGCGCGCAGGAGACUUGAAGGGGGCUGUCCCUAGUACGAGAGGACCGGGACGGACGAACCUCUGGUGUGCCAGUUGUACCGCCAGGUGCACGGCUGGUUGGCUACGUUCGGAAGGGAUAACCGCUGAAAGCAUCUAAGCGGGAAGCUCGCCUUGAGAUGAGGUCUCCCACCCCGUGAGGGGGUAAGGCUCCCGGUAGAUCACCGGGUUGAUAGGCCGGAGGUGGAAGCACGGUAACGUGUGGAGCUGACCGGUACUAAUAGGCCGAGGGCUUGACCAC